rnacentral:lncRNA from 1 species
UGUCUACAGAAGACACAGUGAGAAAGGCAUCCUCUGGUGAGCAGUUCUGGCGAGACAGGUAGGCAUCUCACUGGGGAUGGCUCAAGCAGUGGGAUCCUCACCUGCUGCUUCCAUCCUGCUUUUUCUGCCAUUUACUCCUUUGAAAUUUACUCUCAAAGGUAGAAAGGUAAAUUUCUGCUAUUUACUUUGAAAUUAAAGGUUAUUUUGGGGGAAAAAAUCCAGAAAUUUAAAAUAUUGGUGGCAAAAACUGUCCUGCACAUUCAAUUCUCCAUGUAAGAAUAGUUAAUGCUAUUUAAAAUGCCUGAACACACACCUAAAAUAGGUAAAGGUCCACAUAAGAAAGGUAUUUCCAUAGGAUUAAAGUUCUGGAAGUUGUCAAGGUGGAUCAUAGUUUCGUCAUAGUCAUGAUGUUUAAACAAUACAUAUGAUGAGGCCACUCACUACUCAUACAGGCUCCUGACCAAUCAGCAUGAACGUGAGCUCUAAAUGCCAAAUAGAACUACAUGAUGCAAACCAGUGCACCAUUAAUUGUUUAUGUCGCAUUGCUGGAGUAGCGGUUCUCAGCUAGCUCAUCUGCCUCCCAGGAAGCAAAACAGACAUUACAGGGCCUACCAGACAAAUGCAGAACAUGAUGCGUUAAUGUUUCCAUAUCUCCCAGUACAUGAUUCUGGAAUAGCACGACCUGAAAGUCUAAAUGGACAUCCUUCAAUCCAUGCAGGAUCACAGACUGUGUUAUGGAACUGAAAAUCUGAAACCUUAAAACCAGAUGGGUGGUCUGGAGACAGGACCAGCUGUGCAGAGAAAAUGACAGGACAAAAAGAAACAAAGUCCAACAUAAGAUAAGCUUGGGAUGGCAAAAGUUACAAAAUUAGGUCAAUAAAAUGUCAGCAUUAUAGUACA